rnacentral:rRNA from 5 species
UUAAAUUGAAGAGUUUGAUCAUGGCUCAGAUUGAACGCUGGCGGCAGGCCUAACACAUGCAAGUCGAACGGUAACAGGAAGCAGCUUGCUGCUUUGCUGACGAGUGGCGGACGGGUGAGUAAUGUCUGGGAAACUGCCUGAUGGAGGGGGAUAACUACUGGAAACGGUGGCUAAUACCGCAUAACGUCGCAAGACCAAAGAGGGGGACCUUCGGGCCUCUUGCCAUCAGAUGUGCCCAGAUGGGAUUAGCUUGUUGGUGAGGUAACGGCUCACCAAGGCGACGAUCCCUAGCUGGUCUGAGAGGAUGACCAGCCACACUGGAACUGAGACACGGUCCAGACUCCUACGGGAGGCAGCAGUGGGGAAUAUUGCACAAUGGGCGCAAGCCUGAUGCAGCCAUGCCGCGUGUAUGAAGAAGGCCUUCGGGUUGUAAAGUACUUUCAGCGGGGAGGAAGGUGUUGUGGUUAAUAACCGCAGCAAUUGACGUUACCCGCAGAAGAAGCACCGGCUAACUCCGUGCCAGCAGCCGCGGUAAUACGGAGGGUGCAAGCGUUAAUCGGAAUUACUGGGCGUAAAGCGCACGCAGGCGGUCUGUCAAGUCGGAUGUGAAAUCCCCGGGCUCAACCUGGGAACUGCAUUCGAAACUGGCAGGCUUGAGUCUUGUAGAGGGGGGUAGAAUUCCAGGUGUAGCGGUGAAAUGCGUAGAGAUCUGGAGGAAUACCGGUGGCGAAGGCGGCCCCCUGGACAAAGACUGACGCUCAGGUGCGAAAGCGUGGGGAGCAAACAGGAUUAGAUACCCUGGUAGUCCACGCCGUAAACGAUGUCUACUUGGAGGUUGUGCCCUUGAGGCGUGGCUUCCGGAGCUAACGCGUUAAGUAGACCGCCUGGGGAGUACGGCCGCAAGGUUAAAACUCAAAUGAAUUGACGGGGGCCCGCACAAGCGGUGGAGCAUGUGGUUUAAUUCGAUGCAACGCGAAGAACCUUACCUGGUCUUGACAUCCACAGAACUUUCCAGAGAUGGAUUGGUGCCUUCGGGAACUGUGAGACAGGUGCUGCAUGGCUGUCGUCAGCUCGUGUUGUGAAAUGUUGGGUUAAGUCCCGCAACGAGCGCAACCCUUAUCCUUUGUUGCCAGCGAUUAGGUCGGGAACUCAAAGGAGACUGCCAGUGAUAAACUGGAGGAAGGUGGGGAUGACGUCAAGUCAUCAUGGCCCUUACGACCAGGGCUACACACGUGCUACAAUGGCGCAUACAAAGAGAAGCGACCUCGCGAGAGCAAGCGGACCUCAUAAAGUGCGUCGUAGUCCGGAUUGGAGUCUGCAACUCGACUCCAUGAAGUCGGAAUCGCUAGUAAUCGUGGAUCAGAAUGCCACGGUGAAUACGUUCCCGGGCCUUGUACACACCGCCCGUCACACCAUGGGAGUGGGUUGCAAAAGAAGUAGGUAGCUUAACCUUCGGGAGGGCGCUUACCACUUUGUGAUUCAUGACUGGGGUGAAGUCGUAACAAGGUAACCGUAGGGGAACCUGCGGUUGGAUCACCUCCUUACCUGAAAGAAGC